rnacentral:rRNA from 1 species
CCUACGGGAGGCAGCAGUGAGGAAUAUUCGUCAAUGGGCGCGAGCCUGAACGAGCAAAGUAGCGUGAAGGAUGACAGCCCUACGGGUUGUAAACAUCUGUUAACAAGGAAUAAAGAGAGGCACGUGUGCCUUUUUGUAUGUACUUUAUGAAUAAGGAACGGCUAACUCCGUGCCAGCAGCCGCGGUAAUACGGAGGAUGCGAGCGUUAUCCGUAUUUAUUGGGUUUAAAGGGAGCGUAGAUGGGUUGUUAAGUCAGUUGUGAAAGUUUGCGGCUCAACCGUAAGAGUGCAAUUGAUACUGGCAGUCUUGAGUACAGUUGAGGUAAGCGGAAUUCGUGGUGUAGCGGUGAAAUGCUUAGAUAUCACGAAGAACUCCGAUUGCGAAGGCAGCUUACUAAACUGCCCCUGACAUUGAUGCUCGAAAGUGUGGGUAUCAAACAGGAUUAGAUACCCUUGUAGUC